rnacentral:rRNA from 1 species
UACGUAGGGGGCAAGCGUUGUCCGGAUUUAUUGGGCGUAAAGAGUGUGUAGGCGGUUAGGUAGGUCCGUUGUGAAAACUCGAGGCUCAACCUCGAGACGCCGAUGGAAACCAUCUAACUAGAGUCCGGAAGAGGAGAGUGGAAUUCCUGGUGUAGCGGUGAAAUGCGCAGAUAUCAGGAAGAACACCCGUGGCUAAGGCGGCUCUCUAGUACGGUACUGACGCUGAGACGCGAAAGCGUGGGGAGCGAACAGG